GAUAUUGUUUGAAUAUAUAACCCCCUUGACACAUUCUUAAAAAAAUGCCAUUUUCAUUUUUUUUUAAACACUAAAGAAUGUUCUCAUUAAGAGCAAGCCAAGGCAAAGACGUGAAAUAUGGUAGGGCUCGAAAAAACUGACCCUAAACUCAUCCAAAAGCUAAAAUGAGCCCCAAAAAAUAUCAAAAAUGCUCGCUGUAAUUACACCUAUGGUGCGCCGGGAGUCGCCAGUCUGUCGGCCAUAUUUCGCAAUGACCCCAACUUCUCUGCGCUGGUUUUAGUCCGAGAAAAUUUCAAUUGUCUGCCGUCUCUCUGCUUUAACAAUGUUAAAGAGUUAUCUUCCUACAGCCUCUAAAAAGCCCGAAACAUAUUAACAGUUUUCUACUAUUUUAUUUAUAAACAAAGCAAGCGGAAAUCCUGGAGAGGCUGCCUGUUGAUUGACACUUGCAGUAAGAGGGAAGCAGAAAAUUCAGUCCUUUCUUCGGCUGCUUACAUAGUCCGGAUGAACAGAUGCACGACUGAAAUGUUCAUCCGUUCUUUCGGUCUGUUUUUUGGACGAGUGGCUUUAUUGCACUUUAUAUAAUUAUGAAUCUAAAGGUUAAGGCUGUCCCUUUUUGCCACUCCUGCCUUGUGCUGCCAAGCUCCUCACCCUUAAACAUGCCGUAAGCUGUUUCUUAUCACUCCCCGUUGUGAGCACUGUUUGAGCUGCACGUUUGCUGGGAUUGCUAAUGCUAAUGCCGCAGACCUCUGGCUCAUCCGUCGGGCACGUUGCCAUUGGUGACCACAGCAGGCUUAGCACUGCUUCACCUUUUCCCACUUUUACUUGCUUUUUGUGUUCCGCCUGCCUGGCCUCUAGUAGUCAGGUGGGAAUUAACUUCAGAUGCAACUCGUAGGCUAUUUAUAGACUUAUUAACAAGGAAGAUAUAGCCUAGUUUUUGUUUAAACUGGAUUAAGGAGUGGGGCAGCACUGUUUCUGGACAAAAGAAAUCAAUUUUCUGCACACAAGCGAAGUGAAAAUAUGAUCUAGAAGCUUUCCUUGUGGUAAUUAUAGGAUUGAAAUGAUUUAUGCACUGCAAUGGGAUGACUGUUUUAACAAGCAGACAGAAGACUGCAGUGACCUCAUUUCUAGGAUAGGAGAAGUUCAGUUUUCAAAAUAAAAGUCACGGUCACUUCUAGGAUGCUGCGGUGUGUUACUGUGUAUCCUAAGAUGUAAAACUUUCUUAUUCCUGCCUUUGAGCAAUUCCCUGAGAUGUGUGUGCUUCCCAUCCCAAUAUCCUCAGCACUUGAGCUUGCAUAACUCAAGAGUUUGAGGAACUGAAGUUCCUGAUAAUGCAAGUUGUGUGCCUGUUACGGCCUUAGAAAUUUCAGAACUCUUUUGGUGACUGGUAGCCCAACCCCACUUAGUACUUUUUCAAAGUAUGUGUCUGAGUUGGCUCGUGCCCAUUGCCGCAUCGAGUACAAAUUUACCAACUCAGUUCACCAUGCCACGAACACAGUGUUCCCUUAUUGUGUGUUUGCAUUUGCGUGAAACAGCACUGAGAAAAGAGACUCAACCCGGAGGUCACUGGGAUAGAUACUGAAGCCUUUUAUUUUUAUUUUUUUGGAACACACACAUUUAAACUGUGACAAUGACCCCGGCCCCGCUGCCCCAGCAGUUACACGGUCAUCCUUUCUAGCAAGUGACAAAAAAUGCACACGAAUGGCACCAAUGAAGAACAGUCUGGACUGGACGCACGCCGAACAAGAGAACCGUGAAAAAAGUGCUACCUACCUAUACAUGACACUCGUUUGCUUCCUGGUCUGAGAAAAGGCUGGAGAGUUUCCUUCACACGCCUGUGCCCUCAACAAAGAGGGGGCGGAGCUUUCAUCAUCUGUCUUGCGUCAUGUGACUGUGAUUCCGGAACAGUCUACACACACUACUACAGCUUAAAAAAAAAAA